UACGUAGGGUGCAAGCGUUGUCCGGAAUUAUUGGGCGUAAAGAGCUCGUAGGCGGUCUGUCGCGUCGGCUGUGAAAACCCGGAGCUCAACUCCGGGCCUGCAGUCGAUACGGGCAGGCUCGAGUUCGGUAGGGGGAGACUGGAAUUCCUGGUGUAGCGGUGAAAUGCGCAGAUAUCAGGAGGAACACCGGUGGCGAAGGCGGGUCUCUGGGCCGAUACUGACGCUGAGGAGCGAAAGCGUGGGGAGCGAACAGG
rnacentral:rRNA from 1 species